AGUCUUAUAGUUUAAAAAAAACGUUAAAUUGCAAAUUUAAAAUUGAUCUUAAUCUAAGACUU
rnacentral:tRNA from 1 species